GUAAAGACACUGAACAGUAUAUGUAAAAAGGAUAUCAGAAGACUCUGAAAGGUAGAGAGAAGAAAGAAGACUUGCCUCAGGACCUGAAGAAAGACGUGGUGGUCCACUUUCUGCCAGUUUUUCACUCUCCUGUCUUCUCUGAGAGCCUGGCCUGUAUGGAUUUUGAGAGGUUCUCAUGUGUUCUAACAUCCCCUAUGUCCAACCAAUGGGAAGCCCCAGAAGUUUAGCGGGGAGUUGCAGAAUGAGGUCAGGGCAUUAUUUGCCUAACUCUCUCCUUGCAAGAUAAGCUGACCUUUGUCCAGGUCACUGUUCUAAAUUCUCUGUUAACUAAUCUCUUCUCUCUUCUCUUUACUGAGUCUUAGAUUGCAACACUACCUCUCGCGAUUCCCCUGUACUUAACACCUCUGUAACUAGGUCCGUUGUAGAUGCACCCUCCUCCAGGUGCCUUAUUUGGAGUGUGCCAUCUGUUUUGUGUUGGCCUGUUGACUGAUAUAGGUGUUGGAGGACUGUCAAAGUGGUAUCCAAAGCAUAUUUUUGUUAAUGAUAUGAGGACAGAUUCCACAUCCUAAGCCAAAUUUUAUUUUUAAAAACUUUCAUUUUUAGAGCUUCAGAUCUCUACUUUAUAUACUCAGAUAAGUAUUCAAAAUAUUCUUGAAAGGCUCUGUGACAACUUUGUGUGCCUGUAUAUGUGUGUAUGCAGGGGUGAAGAUGAGAGGCUGAAGAAAAGACAGGGGGAUUUAGGAGGCAGAUGGCAGAUAGCAGACAGGACAAUUGUGCAGCUCCCACUUGGACAGAUAGAACAGUGUGUGGAGACUCAUACAGCGGAUUUUCUCCAAGAACCACUGCAGGAAUGUACCAAGAAAACUGAAAUAAUUCACAGAUUAUUUGAAAUAAGCAGCAUGCCUCUGCAAAUUCCAUAAGACAGGAGAGAAACUGUGAGUUACCAAGGGCGAAAGGGGAAAACCUGCCUCCAAACACACAUCCUUGUCAUGCACAUCCAUGUGAAGAGACCACCAAACAGGCUUUGUGUGAGCAAUAAAGCUUUUUUAUCACCUGGGUGAAGGUGGGCUGAGUCCGAAAAGAGAGUCAGCAAAGGGUGGUGGGAUUAUCAUUAGUUCUUACAGGUUUGGGAUAGGCGGUGGAGUUAGGAGCAAUUUUUUGUGGGCAGGGGGUGGAUCUUACAAAGUACAUUCCUA
rnacentral:lncRNA from 10 species